GCGAUGCGAGGCGAUGCGAGGGAGCCGAGUCGAGCCGAGCCGAGUCCGUUCGAUGAAGCGUUUCUCGCAGAUGGCAGUAGUAAACACUAAGAGCAAGCGGAAAGACGACAACAACAACGGAGCUAGCGACGUGCGCUGCUUCUUUGCGAUGGUGAAGGAAGCGCACCACCGCCUCCACCACUCCAGCAACGCCACCGACACCCCGCCUCCUCCUCCCCUCUACCCACCCCCAUCGCACUCCUCUCCCCGCCGCCUGCCACUCCACAGUUUUUGCCGCUGUGCUAUGAGAAAGAUGUUGCUGUUAUUGCAGUCGACGUCGCUGCUGCUGUGGUCGUUGCCGUGACUGUUGCUGCUGCUGCUGCAUCCGUUCCGCUCCGUUGGUUUCAGCUAAACAGACGGUUGUUACACCUGUGUCGAGGGAUGUUGUCAGCUGU